CAUCUCCCUACCACUAAAACCAAGUAACCUCUUGCACUAAAUUGAUAAGGGAAACUAAUUCUUCUUCUGCUACCUUCUAAUGGCGGUAGUUUCUUCUUCUGCUGCUACUCUCGUAUCCUGCUCUCCUCUUUCUCUUAAACGGUUUCUGGGUUUUGUCUUCCUCAGACAAUCUCUACUGCUUCAAAAAUCGGUGCUCCUUCACCAAGAAAUAAAAUUUUAGGUGAGAGGAAUGUAGAAGCUAGGGUUUCUGAUGAUAGGAAGUUGUUAUAUGAAUACGUUUAACCCCAAAGUUUCAUCUUCUAUUAGAAAUCUUUCAUUUACUGAAAUUUUUGCAUCAGAUUUUUGGAUUUUCUUUGCGAUUGGGUGAAUUUGAGGUUAAGGCGUUUGAAUUAAUUUUUGAGACAAUUGAAUACGUUUGAGUUCUGAAAUUGAAUUGCUUGAAAGGGGAUUAUAACAGCUCUAGUAUUGAUGGCUAUCUAUGAAUUCCCACAAUUACAAGAAGUUAUCAAUCGAGGCUUCAACGACGCUGUAGAUGUUAAUCUUUUAUAGGAUUCCCAGCGCAAGGGUGGAAGUAAAAAGGGAACUUUUCAUGAUGGAGAGCUUGACAAGAAUCCUGAUAGAGAUUCUAGGUAAUGUGAAAGAAAAGAAAGCAGUAGAGAUAAAGUUCAUGAGUCUCGGGAGCAAGAGAGAAAAGCUGAGAUGAACAUGACUUUGUUUGAUCUAAAGAGGAAAGUAGUAUUGUUGAUGAAUCUGACCUUAGGCGUGGCACCUCCUGAUUUCAACCACAGGAGUUCGACAGAGAGAACUGUUGAUGCAAGUGAUGAGCAUUGUGACAGCAAAGGCAGGUCUGUGAAUUCAACCAGUGAUAAAGGAACUGGAACCAGCAACCGAGAAGAGAAGAGGCUCGAGGAGGAGAGAAAUAGGAGCAGAGGCAGGUCUGAGGCUCAAGAAGAAGAAAGUGGGAGGGUUUCUGUGAGUCAUGAAGAGCGAUCAAAUAGUGAUAAAGCUAAGAAGUUCUGAGAGAAAUCAAAUGGGUUGGCAGAGGGUUGGAGUCUAUUGCUCACUGGUCUAGUAACAGGCCUCAUGGGGAGAAGACUGACAAACAUAAACAACAAUAUGAUCGUGCAUAUGGUGACCAUGUUGCUUUGGAUAACCGAGAAAGAUCUGAUAAAUGCAGAGGAAGAUGGACAUGCGAGGUCAAGAGAUAUUGUUGAGAAGGAAGUGAGACAGUCUAGAAGGUCACAGAGUUGUGUGGGAGGUGAAAGGCGUCUGACAGAAUCAGAUGACUCUGGGUCAGACAAUGACAGAGGUAUUGGCCACAAGAAUAUGGACAGAGGAAAGGAAAGUUAUAGAAAUGAUUGAUCUAAGGGAAGAGAUAGUAGCAGCUGGAGUGACAGGGCAGGGAUUGGGAGGACAGUUGGAAAAAGAAGAACGAUAGCAUGAAAACAAAGAAAUAACAGAUAGAUAUGGGGAUUUUAAACUUGAAAGGGAAUGGGAAUCACAGAGGCGAGAACAUAAGAGGAUUGACAAUGAAAUGAUUCUACAUUGACCUGUAUGUAGGAAAAAUUGGUGACAGGCAUGAGAACGAAACUGGAACUUCUGAUUUCGUUGAGAUUUGACCCAAGCCAUCUCAUGAUUAUAUCGGGGAAGAGUCUGCAUCAACAUUUUCUGGGAGGAAAACUGAAACUGGACAACACGCUGAUAUCAUCUCAGCAACAAAUGAUGAAGAUUGCGCAUAUUUUUUUUAGGACAGGGCAGAAAUGGCCGAUGUUUCUGGUUCAGGUGACCAUGAAAGAUAUCUGGAAGAUAGGUCCUCUAUGCUAAGAUCAGAACCGAAAUAACAUAGAUAUGCUAAGCGGGAGAAGGAAAAAGCCACUGGGGAACGGAGUUCGAGUGCUGGUUCACAACCAGCUCAAUUUGACAAAAACCAGGGAUCCGUCUCUUUCAACAGAAAUCUCGUCCAAAGGCCACAAGGGAAUAUGAGGGGGAACAGGAAGAGCGCAAGGACGUGAAGAGCAACGUGUUGGCAUACAGCUGCCUAUGAUGAGACCUCCUUUUGGCUCUUUAGGGUUGCCACCUGGACCAGUGCAAGCCAUUGGUAUAGGUGUCUAACUCCAGGUCCACCUAUGGGGCUUGAUGUCAUGAUCUCACCAUAGGAGGGCCUAAUGUUUGGCCUGGAGCUCGAGGUGUUUAUAUGAAAUGUUAUCUGUUCCUCCUGGUCUUUCACCUAUCCCACCUGGACCUAGAUUCGACCCCAACAUGGGAACAGGCCCAAACCCAGGCAUGUUUCUCGAUCAACCAGUCCGUAAGAGAGGAUUAAACCCUAGCAUGUCUGGCCCUGGUUCGAAUAUUAUGGAUACAAAUGGAUGUGGAUGCCUUAAGAAAAAGCUCCUGCAAACUGGGGUCUUCCGAAAAUUAUUGGGAUACUUAAAGAAAAAGCUCUUGGUAGUCCUUCUAGAGCGAAGCAGAAUGAUUAUUCUCAGAAUUUUGUUGAUCCUGGCAAGAGGCCAAACAAAUUCACAAGGGAGCUGGAGCUAAUUAAAGAUGUGGAGGAGUAUCUGAAGCUCUGGGAGCAUAUUAAAGAAAAGAAGAAGACGAGAUUGUGGCGGAAGCGGCAUCACCUCCCAUGUAUCACAAGUGUGAUUUGCACGAGUUUGUGCUUUCUCCAGAGUUUUUGGUACCAAGUUUGAUGUCAUUCUUGUAGACCCUCCAUUAGAAGAAAAUGUUCAUCGAGCCCUUGGUGUUGCCAACCAUAUGGAUUACUGGACAUUUGCGAAGUUUUAAAGCUUAAGAGUAAGGCAAUUGGUGAUACACCUUCCUUCAUCUUCCUGUGGGUUGGUGUUGGUGUGGGUCUUGAGCAGGGGCCGUCAACGUGGUCUAAUCAAGGUAUUAGAGCUGAUAUCAGUACAGCGCGAUAUCUAUAUGAAGUAACCAUGUUAUAACAUAUUUGCAUGGACCAAAGUUUUUGUAUUGUUUCGAGGAGCCCGUGCAACUAAAAGACCACUAAAUGUGGGGUUUCUGAAGGUGUGAGGAUAUAUUUUAGGUGAGGACCAAAUACACCUCCUUCAUCAUCCUGAUGGGUUGGUGAUGCUGUGGGUCUUGAGCAGGGUAGCGAUUGUCCAAAUAAGGAAGUACACGUUUUCUUGGGAAUUAAGGUCCUCUCUUAGCUUGAGGUGUUACAGGCUCACCUGCUCACUAUUUACUGGCUUUGCAUGUCACUUCUGAUUCGGCACGGUCGGAUAGUUUAGCAGCAACUGAUGCUGCUCCGCAACUUUGAGGCGCACAGAGAGAGCAGCAAUAGCUGCUGCAGCUCCUAUUAAUUACCAUUCCAGGCAUCUGGCUUGAACACUGCAGCUGCUUCUCUUUCAACGGAGACUGAGUUGACCCUCCCCUUCAUCAAAUUUCCUUGCAUGAGGCCCCAAAGAUACAAUACGCUGGCCUUAACAUGGGUUUCUUUCAAAUUUAUAGGAGCCCACGGUAUGCUUUGAAGUACCAUCUGUAUCUGGUUCAGUUUUGUCUUCUACAAAGAAGAAAUCCAUCAACAGCAAUCAAGUGUGCAAUGCAUUAAGGCACAAUUCCAUAAGCAGCACCACAAUCACCUACACCGUCUAUGCCCAACCCCAAUUCAGAUGUAGAAUAUCAAGUUAAGACUUUAACAGUCCUGCCAAUGAAACACAAGCUGGCAGAGUUAAUGGAUUGUGGAUUCGCUUGAUCAACUAAGUGUCUUGCUAUGGGCAAACAUGGGUUCUGAUCUUCUGUAUGCCAAACCCCCAAUGUUGCCCGUAAAAAUAAUUUGCCUGCUGAUAUUGGGUUUCUGGUCACACCAAGCUCAAGCCAGAGAGAUCAAUAUGGUAAACUACAAGUGGUAUUUUUGGCGGAUAAUAAUGAUACUCAUCAUCUUGAUACUCCUUCAUGUCAGAUGACACUUGGUUCAACCUGAUCCACAGCCAGGGAACUUAGAAAAGGUGACAUUAGACUCUCUAGUUCUGCAGUAUCUAAAGCACCAACAUCGACAGUGCCCAGCUCCUAUAACCAGUUUACCACCUCUUUUUGUUGCAUCCACAUGUGUCCAGAACCACGACGAAGUACAGAGCUGCUUGCAAAUGUGAAAACUCGCCAGUUUAUGAGUGAGUUUAGAAAUCAUUAUGAUGGGAUUCAUGGAACCUGAAGAGACAGACAGUUUACUUAUAGCAGAUUUUGGCCUUGGCGCUCUUGCAGGGAUGACUUUGCUCUUCUGGCGUAUAGCUUUCGUUGGCGACUCCUCUUAGAUUGUAACGGGGAACCAUUUUGGUGAGCUCAAAAUUUUUGAUUUAGAAAGUGGGAAUAUCGUGGAAAUUAGUAUGGGUUAUCAUUCACCAUUAACACUCGUCCAAUCAGCUCUAUCUGGUGAUACUCGGUUAUUUCUUCUGGGUCAUAUGAAGUUCGACUCUGGGAUGGAUCUUCAGGUUCAGGUGGCCACUUGCACUGUUUUGAUGGUGCGUGGCAGCUCGGUGCAACAACUCGGUACUUCUAUAUGAAAUUUUGAUAUGGAAAUCUGUAUGUAAUUUUUAUUCUUAAAA